AGGUCAAUGAUGUGGCAGUAUUGUAGCCAAUGAGGUUUAUCCAAGGCAAGAUUAUUGCUAAUUGGAAACUUUUCCCUAUUUA
rnacentral:snRNA from 1 species